ensembl:lncRNA
GAGAACUUCAAGGAACUCAUAUAAAGAAACUGGGUUUUUUUAGCCUAAAGAAGAGAAGACUUAGGGAGAUCAUGAUAGCUAUUUUCUAGUCUAUGAAUAGCUAUCCCAUGGAAACAGGAUUUGAUUUUUCUAUGGAAUAUAGAGGGCUGAAUGAAGUGAAAGUUUCUGAGAAAUAGGUUUUCACUGGAUAUAAUAAAGUAUUUCCUUAACAAUUGGAUUUUUUAAAAAACUUCCUCAAGAACCAAGUCAACAUGCAUUUAUUAAGCCAUGGACCAUGCAUUGUACUAAGUUUUGGGGAUAGAAAGAAAGGCAAAAAUGAAAAGAACCCUGAACCUUAAGACUACACUUUAAUAGGAGGGAGACAAUGUACAAUUAUUUUCAUAUAUGAUAUAUGUAUAAAGGAAACUGGAGAUGGACACAUGGGUUACCCUCCCACCAUUACUUUCAUGAAGUGCUAGUAAUUUUUGCCUGGAAUUUCUGUUCCUCCAUUCAUAGGGAUUUGAGAGAAUCUGACCAUGAUGACUGCUGA